GCACAAGCGGUGGAUGAUGUGGUUUAAUUCGAUGCAACGCGAAAACCUUACCACCUUUGACAUGGCAGGAAUCCUGAAGAGAUUUGGGAGUGCUCGAAAGAGAACCUGCACACAGGUGCUGCAUGGCUGUCGUCAGCUCGUGUCGUGAGAUGUUGGGUUAAGUCCCGCAACGAGCGCAACCCUUGCCAUUAGUUGCUACGAAAGGGCACUCUAAUGGGACUGCCGGUGACAAACCGGAGGAAGGUGGGGAUGACGUCAAGUCCUCAUGGCCCUUAUAGGUGGGUUACACACGUCAUACAAUGGUCGGUACAGAGGGUUGCCAAGCCGCGAGGUGGAGCCAAUCCUAAAAAGCUGGCCUCAGUUCAGAUUGCAGUCUGAAACUCGACUGCAUGAAGUCGGAGUUGCUAGUAAACGCAGGUCAGCUAUACUGCGUUGAAUACGUUCCCGGGGCUU
rnacentral:rRNA from 1 species